rnacentral:rRNA from 1 species
AGAGUUUGAUCCUGGCUCAGAUUGAACGCUGGCGGCAUGCCUUACACAUGCAAGUCGAACGGCAGCGCGGGGCAACCUGGCGGCGAGUGGCGAACGGGUGAGUAAUAUAUCGGAACGUACCCUGGAGUGGGGGAUAACGUAGCGAAAGUUACGCUAAUACCGCAUACGAUCUAAGGAUGAAAGUGGGGGAUCGCAAGACCUCAUGCUCCUGGAGCGGCCGAUAUCUGAUUAGCUAGUUGGUAGGGUAAAAGCCUACCAAGGCUUCGAUCAGUAGCUGGUCUGAGAGGACGACCAGCCACACUGGAACUGAGACACGGUCCAGACUCCUACGGGAGGCAGCAGUGGGGAAUUUUGGACAAUGGGCGCAAGCCUGAUCCAGCAAUGCCGCGUGAGUGAAGAAGGCCUUCGGGUUGUANAGCUCUUUUGUCAGGGAAGAAACGGUGAGGGCUAAUAUCUCUUGCUAAUGACGGUACCUGAAGAAUAAGCACCGGCUANCUACGUGNCANCAGCCGGNGGUAAUACGUAGGGUGCANGCGUUAAUCGGAAUUACUGGGCNGUAUNGCGUGCNCCNGCGGNUUUGUAANUUUUGUNGUGAAAAGCCCCCGGGCUCGANCUGGGGAAUUGCGAUGAAGACUNGCAAGGGCNUGAAUCUGGCUGNAGGGGGGGUAUAAUNCCGNGUUGUNAGCNCUGGA